GACGAACGCUGGCGGCGUGCUUAACACAUGCAAGUCGAACGGAAAGGCCCUCCUAUUGUUGGGUGCUCGAGUGGCGAACGGGUGCGUGACACGUGAGUACCCUUCCCUCGACUUUGGGAUAACGUCAGGAAACUGGGGCUAAUACCGGAUAAGAGCUCCUGCUGCAUGGUGGGCGUUGGAAAGUUUCGGCAGUUGUGGAUGGACUCGCGGCUUAUCCGCUUGUUGGUGGGGUAGUGGCUUACCAAGGCUUUCACGGGUACCCGGCCUGAGAGGGUGACCGGGAAAAUUGGGAAUGUGAUACGGCCCGGAGUCGUACGGGAGGCAGCAGUGGGGGAUAGUGCACAAUGGGGGGAAGUCUGAUGCAGGAACGCCGCGUGCGGGAUGACGGACUUCGGGUUGUAGACCGCUUUCGCCUGUGACGAAGCGUGAGUGAAGGUAAUGUGUAAAGAAGCACCGGCUAACUACGUG
rnacentral:rRNA from 1 species